AUAAAAACCACAGGAAAUGUGGUGCUACUUUGCAAGGUAAAUCUGCAAGACUGGAUGCUAGAAAUGACAGUAUUUUUGCUACACAUCUUCGAUGGCAUUAGUUGUUUUUUUUGUUGCUGUGAUACGACAGUAGCCAACAUCAACGUAUAAACAUAAAGAGGGGCUUAUUUUGGCUGACUAUUCUAGGGGUUAAAUGUAUAUCGAAACACAGUGGCACACAUCUGUAAUCCCAGCACUGGGAGGCACCAAUAGAAAUCUCUUAACAUUUCUUAGGAUCUAGUUCUGUGCAAAGUCUGUUUUCUGAUGCAUAAAUAAAACACUGGGGAUUCAGGAGGGUCAGAAUGCUGCUCCCUAUCCAGAGAGCGUUCAGUGAUGUCUACUUACUGACAACUGAGCACCUGCGAAAGAGCUUCGCUUUCUGCUUUCCUCAUUAAAAUGAAAUGAUGCAUAGCUCAUCUUUUUUGCAAUGUAUGCCUCUCAUGAAGAAUUACAUACAGCUACACAUCUGAAACAAAGUAUGUAAGGCAGACCUUGGAAAAGAUGAAGGUCACUUUCUCCUGGAAGCCUCCUAGGUCUUAUAUUUUUGGUUGU
rnacentral:lncRNA from 1 species